CAGGGAGACAACAAAAUGUUUAAUAUUAUUAUUUUGUCACCUUAGGUCGAUCGGUAUCUCACGUUCUUAAUUUAUUAAGAAUUUCAUUUCCUAAGUUUUUCUAGGUCACACCCAUUAUUUUUCCUGGGCCAUUAGCUCAGGUGGUUAGAGCGCACCCCUGAUAAGGGUGAGGUCCCUGGUUCAAGUCCAGGAUGGCCCAUAUCUCUAUGUUGGGGGUAUAGCUCAGUUGGUAGAGCGCCUGCUUUGCAAGCAGGAUGUCAGCGGUUCGAGUCCGCUUACCUCCACUGAUUACCACCUCUUCCAUAUCUAUAUAAAGGAAAUGUUUUGAGUUGUGAUCAAAUUCUGAACGAAUCUAGCUUCCUAAUGAAAUCAUUAAGAUGCUGGACUCAUUGAAUUAAUUUCAUUGUUUUCAGAGAACCUUGACAACUGCAUAGAUUAUUUUUAAAGACAAUAAGCAUCUUUAAUGAUGCAGAUUUAUUAUUUGUGCGAACGCACUAAAUAACAAUUCUAUUAAGCUGAUGCUUCAAUUUUGAAGUUAUU
rnacentral:tRNA from 1 species